GUUCACCUCUUAUAUUUGAUGUGUUUCCCUCAGUUUCAGUUUGUAACCAGGGUUUGUUUUCUUCUUAAUCGAUUUUAAAUUUCGAACAGCGGUAUACUGUUGUUGCCUUUAUCUAUGUCAUUACAAAUCUUAAUUCAUUCAUAUAAUGCAACAAUUUAAUUGUAUAAUAGUAUAAACACAUAAUUACAAUGUUUCAUUAUCAACAUGAUAAAUAUACAGAUUGAUUCCUUGCAACAAAAAUAACAAAAACAAAACAAAGUACAAGGAUGUCCGAUCCACACUAUCAUUUUCUGUUCAUUGGACCAUGAAAAUUAUGUAAAAUCUCUAAUUAGAUCAUAUCAUAUGGAACAUGUGUACUAAGUUUCAUGUUGAUUUGACUUCAAUUUUAUCAAUAACUACCUCGACCAAAAACUUCAACCUGAAGAAAAACUUUAACCUGAAUCUGGACAGACAGACAGAUAAACAAAGUGCCCUUAAAUGGGACAUAUGUAAACCUGAUAACUGCAGUCUCAAUUAAAAAAAAACACAAAUAUAGACUUUAGUGUCCCAAUAACUAAAUUUAAGAAUGUCAAAAAUUUAAAUAAUAAUCAAUACUGAUAAUUCAUUACAUAUAUUUUCAUGAUCAAGUAUAUUUUCAUGGACAUGAUGGUACAUUUUUCAUGUAUUGAGGAACCUCAAAGUUUUGCAUACCAGCUUAUACGAAAAACAUACUUUAUGGAACACUUGAACAUGAAAUUCUUUUUAAAGGAUACCAAAUAGCAUUGGAGAAUCAUUGGAAGAUUUAGAUAUC
rnacentral:lncRNA from 1 species